AGUUGAUCUCCCUGGAAAUGGAGACUGUAAUCAGACCAGAGACGAGAUGUGGAAAUCAAUGUUAAGGGAGUGCACAGCUGUUUGGGUUGUGAGUGAUAUCAAUCGAGCCGCAUCUGACAAGGCAGCCUGGGAGAUCCUGAAGAGCAGCAUGACAGAUAUGGUGCAGGGAGGGGCAUGCACUGGCAUCACUUUCAUCUGCACCAAAACUGAUAAUAUGGAUCCCCAGUCUUACAUGAGAUCAUUAAGGUCAGUCUUUUUUUAUCAUAUAUUUUUUGUCUAUGUAAGUGUAUGCAGUACCAAAGAGUGUGUUCAGUGUACUAUUCGUUUGGUUUAUUAUGUUAUUAGGUUUAAAACAGUAUGCAGAAAACUAAAAAAUUUGAUUUUCACAUCCCUUAGACUAAACAAUGAAGAUCUACAAAUCACAGCGGACAAUGUAAGUGAAAAAUGGAUACAAACUGACACCACUGCAUUAGAUGACAGAUCUAUGCCAGAUGAAAUACAAAGUGUAUUAUUAUUCUCCCUAUUUUCCAGGAAUCAGAGAAAAAGCUUAAAUGCAUACAGCACAGGAAUAACAUGGCCAAGAAUCGUGUGAAACAAGCCUUUGAAAAACAAUGUCAACUCCAGGUAUUUCUCUCACCCAGGAGGUGUUUGUGAUAGAUUUUUGUGAUCAUAUAGCUGACUGAUUGACUGAUUAAGAUUUUUUUCAGAAAUAUUACAUCAGAAGCAUUUCAGUGUUUACUGUAAGUUCACGGGAGUUCUGCUCAAAGAAGCCAUAUCUGAAACAGGAGGACACAGGUAGAGCAUCAUCAGUUUUAGUAGUUGUCUCUUUUUUCCAUUAGAGGAGUGUGUGCUGUUCAUCAUCACCCAUAAAGGGAGUUUGUGUAUUUCAUGAAGUGAGCACAAAAUGAGCAGAUUCACUUGUCAAUAUAGCUGACAAAGACACUAUGUAUUUUCUUUAUUUAUUUCUUCGGAAAAAACCACGGAAGAGAUACCAAAGCUGAGAGAGGUGCUGAGGAGUCUUAACCACAGUCACGCCAACAGAGUGGCCUCACAGUAUUUUACAAGUGCCACAGGGAUCCUGUCCCUCAUACAGACAUCCAAAGAUAACAACGAGGAGAUGGUAAGUGUCACCAUUAAUAAAGGUGUCCUUGUGUUGUCUGUAAAUUAGUCU
rnacentral:lncRNA from 1 species